rnacentral:tRNA from 2 species
GCUCUUGUCGUUCAACGGAUAGGACACUCCCCUGCGAAGGGAGAAAUGCAGGUUCGAUUCCUGCCGAGAGCA